rnacentral:rRNA from 1 species
GGCCGCAAGGUUAAAACUCAAAUGAAUUGACGGGGGCCCGCACAAGCGGUGGAGCAUGUGGUUUAAUUCGAUGCAACGCGAAGAACCUUACCUGGUCUUGACAUCCACAGAAGAAUCCAGAGAUGGAUUUGUGCCUUCGGGAACUGUGAGACAGGUGCUGCAUGGCUGUCGUCAGCUCGUGUUGUGAAAUGUUGGGUUAAGUCCCGCAACGAGCGCAACCCUUAUCCUUUGUUGCCAGCGGUUAGGCCGGGAACUCAAAGGAGACUGCCAGU